GGUUAAGCGACUAAGCGUACACGGUGGAUGCCCUGGCAGUCAGAGGCGAUGAAGGACGUGCUAAUCUGCGAUAAGCGUCGGUGAGGUGAUAUGAACCGUUAUAACCGGCGAUUUCCGAAUGGGGAAACCCAGUGUGUUUCGACACACUAUCAUUAACUGAAUCCAUAGGUUAAUGAGGCGAACCGGGGGAACUGAAACAUCUAAGUACCCCGAGGAAAAGAAAUCAACCGAGAUUCCCCCAGUAGCGGCGAGCGAACGGGGAGGAGCCCAGAGCCUGAAUCAGUGUGUGUGUUAGUGGAAGCGUCUGGAAAGGCGUGCGAUACAGGGUGACAGCCCCGUACACAAAAAUGCACAUAUUGUGAGCUCGAUGAGUAGGGCGGGACACGUGGUAUCCUGUCUGAAUAUGGGGGGACCAUCCUCCAAGGCUAAAUACUCCUGACUGACCGAUAGUGAACCAGUACCGUGAGGGAAAGGCGAAAAGAACCCCGGCGAGGGGAGUGAAAAAGAACCUGAAACCGUGUACGUACAAGCAGUGGGAGCCUCUUAAUGGGGUGACUGCGUACCUUUUGUAUAAUGGGUCAGCGACUUAUAUUCUGUAGCAAGGUUAACCGAAUAGGGGAGCCGAAGGGAAACCGAGUCUUAACUGGGCGUUAAGUUGCAGGGUAUAGACCCGAAACCCGGUGAUCUAGCCAUGGGCAGGUUGAAGGUUGGGUAACACUAACUGGAGGACCGAACCGACUAAUGUUGAAAAAUUAGCGGAUGACUUGUGGCUGGGGGUGAAAGGCCAAUCAAACCGGGAGAUAGCUGGUUCUCCCCGAAAGCUAUUUAGGUAGCGCCUCGUGAAUUCAUCUCCGGGGGUAGAGCACUGUUUCGGCAAGGGGGUCAUCCCGACUUACCAACCCGAUGCAAACUGCGAAUACCGGAGAAUGUUAUCACGGGAGACACACGGCGGGUGCUAACGUCCGUCGUGAAGAGGGAAACAACCCAGACCGCCAGCUAAGGUCCCAAAGUCAUGGUUAAGUGGGAAACGAUGUGGGAAGGCCCAGACAGCCAGGAUGUUGGCUUAGAAGCAGCCAUCAUUUAAAGAAAGCGUAAUAGCUCACUGGUCGAGUCGGCCUGCGCGGAAGAUGUAACGGGGCUAAACCAUGCACCGAAGCUGCGGCAGCGACACUAUGUGUUGUUGGGUAGGGGAGCGUUCUGUAAGCCUGUGAAGGUGGCCUGUGAGGGUUGCUGGAGGUAUCAGAAGUGCGAAUGCUGACAUAAGUAACGAUAAAGCGGGUGAAAAGCCCGCUCGCCGGAAGACCAAGGGUUCCUGUCCAACGUUAAUCGGGGCAGGGUGAGUCGACCCCUAAGGCGAGGCCGAAAGGCGUAGUCGAUGGGAAACAGGUUAAUAUUCCUGUACUUGGUGUUACUGCGAAGGGGGGACGGAGAAGGCUAUGUUGGCCGGGCGACGGUUGUCCCGGUUUAAGCGUGUAGGCUGGUUUUCCAGGCAAAUCCGGAAAACCAAGGCUGAGGCGUGAUGACGAGGCACUACGGUGCUGAAGUGACAAAUGCCCUGCUUCCAGGAAAAGCCUCUAAGCAUCAGGUAACAUCAAAUCGUACCCCAAACCGACACAGGUGGUCAGGUAGAGAAUACCAAGGCGCUUGAGAGAACUCGGGUGAAGGAACUAGGCAAAAUGGUGCCGUAACUUCGGGAGAAGGCACGCUGAUAUGUAGGUGAAGCGACUUGCUCGUGGAGCUGAAAUCAGUCGAAGAUACCAGCUGGCUGCAACUGUUUAUUAAAAACACAGCACUGUGCAAACACGAAAGUGGACGUAUACGGUGUGACGCCUGCCCGGUGCCGGAAGGUUAAUUGAUGGGGUUAGCGGUAACGCGAAGCUCUUGAUCGAAGCCCCGGUAAACGGCGGCCGUAACUAUAACGGUCCUAAGGUAGCGAAAUUCCUUGUCGGGUAAGUUCCGACCUGCACGAAUGGCGUAAUGAUGGCCAGGCUGUCUCCACCCGAGACUCAGUGAAAUUGAACUCGCUGUGAAGAUGCAGUGUACCCGCGGCAAGACGGAAAGACCCCGUGAACCUUUACUAUAGCUUGACACUGAACAUUGAGCCUUGAUGUGUAGGAUAGGUGGGAGGCUUUGAAGUGUGGACGCCAGUCUGCAUGGAGCCGACCUUGAAAUACCACCCUUUAAUGUUUGAUGUUCUAACGUUGGCCCGUAAUCCGGGUUGCGGACAGUGUCUGGUGGGUAGUUUGACUGGGGCGGUCUCCUCCUAAAGAGUAACGGAGGAGCACGAAGGUUGGCUAAUCCUGGUCGGACAUCAGGAGGUUAGUGCAAUGGCAUAAGCCAGCUUGACUGCGAGCGUGACGGCGCGAGCAGGUGCGAAAGCAGGUCAUAGUGAUCCGGUGGUUCUGAAUGGAAGGGCCAUCGCUCAACGGAUAAAAGGUACUCCGGGGAUAACAGGCUGAUACCGCCCAAGAGUUCAUAUCGACGGCGGUGUUUGGCACCUCGAUGUCGGCUCAUCACAUCCUGGGGCUGAAGUAGGUCCCAAGGGUAUGGCUGUUCGCCAUUUAAAGUGGUACGCGAGCUGGGUUUAGAACGUCGUGAGACAGUUCGGUCCCUAUCUGCCGUGGGCGCUGGAGAACUGAGGGGGGCUGCUCCUAGUACGAGAGGACCGGAGUGGACGCAUCACUGGUGUUCGGGUUGUCAUGCCAAUGGCACUGCCCGGUAGCUAAAUGCGGAAGAGAUAAGUGCUGAAAGCAUCUAAGCACGAAACUUGCCCCGAGAUG
rnacentral:rRNA from 1 species